rnacentral:rRNA from 1 species
CAUCGCCUCUUGAAUAAUAAAUAUAAGAGGUCCCGCCUGCCCUGUGACUUUAAGUUUAACGGCCGCGGUAUUUUGACCGUGCGAAGGUAGCGCAAUCACUUGUCUUUUAAAUGAAGACCCGUAUGAAUGGCACCACGAGGGCUUAGCUGUCUCCUUUUUCAAGUCAAUGAAAUUGAUCUCCCCGUGCAGAAGCGGGGAUAAUAACAUAAGACGAGAAGACCCUAUGGAGCUUCAGACCUAGUGCAGAUCACGAAAAAUACUUUAAGACAAAAAAGAAAAGCCCAAUGACCCCUGCACAACUGUCUUUGGUUGGGGCGACCGCGGGGAAAAACAAAACCCCCACGAGGACUGAGAGUUUUACUCCUAAAACCAAGAGCCACAGCUCUAAGUAUCAGAAAUUCUGACCUAAAUGAUCCGGGCAACCGAUCAACGAACCGAGUUACCCUAGGGAUAACAGCGCAAUCCCCUUCCAGAGCCCAUAUCGACAAGGGGGUUUACGACCUCGAUGUUGGAUCAGGACAUCCUAAUGGUGCAGCCGCUAUUAAGGGUUCGUUUGUUCAACGAUUAAAGUCCUACGUGA